rnacentral:rRNA from 1 species
AUUGAACGCUGGCGGCAGGCUUAACACAUGCAAGUCGAGCGGAGAGAGGUAGCUUGCUACCGAUCUUAGCGGCGGACGGGUGAGUAAUGCUUAGGAAUCUGCCUAUUAGUGGGGGACAACAUUUCGAAAGGAAUGCUAAUUCCGCAUACGUCCUACGGGAGAAAGCAGGGGAUCUUCGGACCUUGCGCUAAUAGAUGAGCCUAAGUCGGAUUAGCUAGUUGGUGGGGUAAAGGCCUACCAAGGCGACGAUCUGUAGCGGGUCUGAGAGGAUGAUCCGCCACACUGGGACUGAGACACGGCCCAGACUCCUACGGGAGGCAGCAGUGGGGAAUAUUGGACAAUGGGCGGAAGCCUGAUCCAGCCAUGCCGCGUGUGUGAAGAAGGCCUUAUGGUUGUAAAGCACUUUAAGCGAGGAGGAGGCUACUUUAGUUAAUACCUAGAGAUAGUGGACGUUACUCGCAGAAUAAGCACCGGCUAACUCUGUGCCAGCCGCCGCAGUAAAAC